GGUGGGUUGGCCGAGUGGUUAAGGCAGCGGUUUGCUAAACCGCGGCGGUCUAAAAAGCCGCCCGCAGGUUCGAAUCCUGCACCCACCGC
rnacentral:tRNA from 1 species